rnacentral:rRNA from 1 species
GACGAACGCUGGCGGCGUGCCUAAUACAUGCAAGUCGAACGCUUCUUUCCUCCCGAGUGCUUGCACUCAAUGGGGAAGAGGAGUGGCGGACGGGUGAGUAACACAUGGGUAACCUACUCAUCAGAGGGGGAGAACACUUGACGACAGUUGCUAAUACCACAUAACAGUUUAUGCCGCAUGGCUUAAGAGUUUAAGGGACUUUCUGGUGUCGCUUCGGGAUGGACCCUCGGUGCAUUAGCUAGUUGGUGAGGUAACGGCUCACCAAGGCCACGAUGCAUAGCCGACCUGAGAGGGUGAUCGGCCACACUGGGACUGAGACACGGCCCAGACUCCUACGGGAGGCAGCAGUAGGGAAUCUUCGGCAAUGGACGAAAGUCUGACCGAGCCACGCCGCGUGAGUGAAGAAGGUCUUCGGAUCGUAAAACUCUGUUGUUAGGGAAGAAAAACGACGUUAGUAACUGACCGUCUCCUGACGGUACCUAAACAGAAAGCAACGGCUAACUACGUG